UGAGUAACACGUAUCCAACCUGCCGUCUACUCUUGGACAGCCUUCUGAAAGGAAGAUUAAUACAAGAUGGCAUCAUGAGUUCACAUGUUCACAUGAUUAAAGGUAUUCCGGUAGACGAUGGGGAUGCGUUCCAUUAGAUAGUAGGCGGGGUAACGGCCCACCUAGUCUUCGAUGGAUAGGGGUUCUGAGAGGAAGGUCCCCCACAUUGGAACUGAGACACGGCCAA
rnacentral:rRNA from 1 species